AGCAGCCGCGGUAAUUCCAGCUCCAAUAGCGUAUAUUAAAGUUGUUGCAGUUAAAAAGCUCGUAGUUGAAUUUCGGGGUUAGUAGGUUGGUCAUGCCUCUGGUAUGUACUGGUCUCACUGAUUCCUCCUUCCUGAUGAGCCGUAAUGCCAUUAAUUUGGUGUUGCGGGGAAUUUGGACUGUUACUUUGAAAAAUUAGAGUGUUUAAAGCAAGCUAACGCUUGAAUACAUUAGCAUGGAAUAAUGAAAUAGGACGUUCGAUCCUAUUUUGUUGGUUUCUAGGAUUGACGUAAUGAUUAAUAGGGAUAGUUGGGGCAUUAGUAUUCAAUUGUCAGAGGUGAAAUUCUUGGAUUUAUUGAAGACUAACUACUGCGAAAGCAUUUGCCAAGGAUGUUUUCACUAAUACAAGACGAAAGUUAGGGGAUCGAAGACGAUCAGAUACCGUCGUAGUC
rnacentral:rRNA from 1 species